UGACCUCGGAUCAGGUAGGAAUACCCGCUGAACUUAAGCAUAUCAAUAAGCGGAGGAAAAGAAACCAACAGGGAUUGCCCCAGUAACGGCGAGUGAAGCGGCAACAGCUCAAAUUUGAAAUCUGGCCCCCCGGGUCCGAGUUGUAAUUUGCAGAGGAUGCUCUUGGCGAGGCACCGUCCGAGUUCCCUGGAACGGGACGCCAUAGAGGGUGAGAGCCCCGUAUGGACGACUGCCGAGCCGCUGUAGAGCUCCUUCGACGAGUCGAGUAGUUUGGGAAUGCUGCUCUAAACGGGAGGUAAAUCUCUUCUAAAGCUAAAUACUGGCCACAGACCGAUAGCGCACAAGUAGAGUGAUCGAAAGAUGAAAAGCACUUUGAAAAGAGAGUUAAACAGCACGUGAAAUUGUUGAAAGGGAAGCGCUCAUGACCAGACUUGCGCCUGGCGGAUCAUCCGGCGUUCUCGCCGGUGCACUCCGCCUGGCACAGGCCAGCAUCGGUUCGCUGUCGGGGAGAAAGGCGGGGGGAAUGUGGCUCUUCGGAGUGUUAUAGCCCCCCGUGUAAUACCCUUCGGCGGACCGAGGUUCGCGCAUCUGCAAGGAUGCUGGCGUAAUGGCCACCGGCGACCCGUCUUGAAACACGGACC
rnacentral:rRNA from 1 species